UGGGGAAUUUUGGACAAUGGGCGAAAGCCUGAUCCAGCCAUGCCGCGUGAGUGAAGAAGGCCUUCGGGUUGUAAAGCUCUUUUAGUCGGAAAGAAAGAGUUGCAAUGAAUAAUUGUGAUUUAUGACGGUACCGACAGAAAAAGCACCGGCUAACUACGUGCCAGCAGCCGCGGUAAUACGUAGGGUGCGAGCGUUAAUCGGAAUUACUGGGCGUAAAGGGUGCGCAGGCGGUCUUGCAAGUCAGGUGUGAAGGCCCCGGGCUUAACCUGGGAAUUGCGUUUGAAACUACAAGACUAGAGUGCAGCAGAGGGGAGUGGAAUUCCAUGUGUAGCAGUGAAAUGCGUAGAGAUGUGGAAGAACACCGAUGGCGAAGGCAGCUCCCUGGGUUGACACUGACGCUCAUGCACGAAAGCGUGGGGAGCAAACA
rnacentral:rRNA from 1 species